rnacentral:rRNA from 1 species
GAGUUUGAUUAUGGCUCAGGAUGAACGCUAGCGGGAGGCCUAACACAUGCAAGCCGAGCGGGAUUUGUUGGUUAGCUUGCUAACUGAUAAUGAGAGCGGCGUACGGGUGCGUAACACGUGUGCAACCUGCCUUUAUCUGGGGGAUAGCCUUUCGAAAGGAAGAUUAAUACCCCAUAAUAUAUUGAUUGGCAUCGAUUAAUAUUGAAAGCUGAGGCGGAUAGAGAUGGGCACGCGUAAGAUUAGCUAGUUGGUGAGGUAACGGCUCACCAAGGCUGCGAUCUUUAGGGGGCCUGAGAGGGUGAUCCCCCACACUGGUACUGAGACACGGACCAGACUCCUACGGGAGGCAGCAGUGAGGAAUAUUGGACAAUGGGUGAGAGCCUGAUCCAGCCAUCCCGCGUGAAGGACUAAGGACCUAUGGUUUGUAAACUUCUUUUAUACAGGGAUAAACCUACUCUCGUGAGGGUAGCU